GGGGGGGGGGGGGGGGGGGGGGGGGGGGGGGGGGGCGGGGGGGGGGGGGGGGGUGGGGGCGGGGGUGAGGGGGGGACGGGGGAGGAAGGCGUAGGAGUCGGCCUGGUGGUGGGGGGUAACGGCGGGAGACGGGCGCUGAUGCCGCAUACGGCCUGGGGGGGGAAGUGGGGGAGCUUCGGACCUCGCGGUAUCAGAUGCGCCUAGGUCGGAUUAGCUAGUUGGUGGGGUAAAGGCCUACCAAGGCGACGAUCCGUAACUGGUCUGAGAGGAUGAUCAGUCACACUGGAACUGAGACACGGUCCAGACUCCUACGGGAGGCAGCAGUGGGGAAUAUUGGACAAUGGGCGAAAGCCUGAUCCAGCCAUGCCGCGUGUGUGAAGAAGGUCUUCGGAUUGUAAAGCACUUUAAGUUGGGAGGAAGGGCAGUAAGUUAAUACCUUGCUGUUUUGACGUUACCAACAGAAUAAGCACCGGCUAACUUCGUG
rnacentral:rRNA from 1 species